rnacentral:rRNA from 1 species
UACGUAGGCAGCGAGCGUUGUUCGGAGUUACUGGGCGUAAAGGGUGUGUAGGCGGUUGUUUAAGUUUGGUGUGAAAUCUCCCGGCUCAACUGGGAGGGUGCGCCGAAUACUGAAUGACUUGGAGUGCGGGAGAGGAGAGUGGAAUUCCUGGUGUAGCGGUGAAAUGCUUAGAUAUGACACAGAACACCGAUUGCGAAGGCAGCUCACUAAACUGUAACUGACGCUGAGGCACGAAAGCGUGGGGAUCAAACAGG